UACCCCGCAUCUCAAAUGCGUCCAAAUGAAAUCCUUAUUUUUUGAUCGUUACAUUUUGUUUAAACAUCCCAGUCUCAUCAAAACAACUCCUUAUCAUAGUCAGGAUUAACGUUGACCAUCAGAUCUUGUAUUAGAUUGAUUUGGAGCCAUUGGAUCGUGCAAAGAUUAGCUUUUGAUUUAUUCUGAUAGCCGACAGCUCACCGGACCAUU
rnacentral:lncRNA from 1 species